rnacentral:tRNA from 1 species
UCCCGCGUGGUCUAGCGGUUAGGAUUCCUGGCUUUCACCCAGGCGGCCCGGGUGCGACUUCCGGCGCGGGAG